rnacentral:rRNA from 1 species
GAUGAACGCUAGCUACAGGCUUAACACAUGCAAGUCGAGGGGCAGCGGGAUUGAAGCUUGCUUCAAUUGCCGGCGACCGGCGCACGGGUGAGUAACGCGUAUCCAACCUUCCGUACACUCAGGGAUAGCCUUUCGAAAGAAAGAUUAAUACCUGAUGGUAUGAUGAGAUUGCAUGAUAGCAUCAUUAAAGAUUUAUCGGUGUACGAUGGGGAUGCGUUCCAUUAGGUAGUAGGCGGGGUAACGGCCCACCUAGCCGACGAUGGAUAGGGGUUCUGAGAGGAAGGUCCCCCCACAUUGGAACUGAGACACGGUCCAAACUCCUACGGGAGGCAGCAGUGAGGAAUAUUGGUCAAUGGACGAGAGUCUGAACCAGCCAAGUAGCGUGAAGGAUGAAGGUCCUACGGAUUGUAAACUUCUUUAUAAGGGAAUAAACCCUCCACGUGUGGGAGCUUGUAUGUACCUUAUGAAUAAGCAUCGGCUAACUCCGUGCCAGCAG